GAUGAACGCUGGCGGCGUGCUUAACACAUGCGAGUCGAACGAUGAAGCCCAGCUUGCUGGGUGGAUUAGUGGCGAACGGGUGAGUAACACGUGAGUAACCUGCCCUUAACUCUGGGAUAAGCCUGGGAAACUGGGUCUAAUACCGGAUAGGAGCGCCUACCGCAUGGUGGGUGUUGGAAAGAUUUAUCGGUUUUGGAUGGACUCGCGGCCUAUCAGCUUGUUGGUGAGGUAAUGGCUCACCAAGGCGACGACGGGUAGCCGGCCUGAGAGGGUGACCGGCCACACUGGGACUGAGACACGGCCCAGACUCCUACGGGAGGCAGCAGUGGGGAAUAUUGCACAAUGGGCGAAAGCCUGAUGCAGCGACGCCGCGUGAGGGAUGACGGCCUUCGGGUUGUAAACCUCUUUCAGUAGGGAAGAAGCGAAAGUGACGGUACCUGCAGAAGAAGCACCGGCUAACUACGUG
rnacentral:rRNA from 1 species